rnacentral:lncRNA from 1 species
GUCUUGCACGUAAAAAUUAGAUUUGGUCCCUCCCUCCUAGGAACUUAACAGUGAGGCGGUAAACCAGUGCGGGUCACUUGCCAGUCAUAGUGCAGCAGGAGGCUUGCUCUUCACUCCUGGGCAAGAACACUGGACGAAGAUGGCUGGAACAGCGCAGCAUCUAACCUGUUUUGUUAUCAGUGAGUGUUUACCCCUAUUUUAUACCUAAAUAAAUUCUUGAGAAUCUUUACUAGAUUCUUGUGGAUUCAAGCUACAAGUUCUAAGUAAAUAGGAUUUUUUUUUAAAUGAAA